CGUUCCGAAAGGAGCGCUAAUACGGCACACGUCCUACGGGAGAAAGUGGGGGAUCUUCGGACCUCACGCUAUCAGAUGAGCCUAGGUCGGAUUAGCUAGUAGGUGGGGUAAUGGCUCACCUAGGCGACGAUCCGUAACUGGUCUGAGAGGAUGAUCAGUCACACUGGAACUGAGACACGGUCCAGACUCCUACGGGAGGCAGCAGUGGGGAAUAUUGGACAAUGGGCGAAAGCCUGAUCCAGCCAUGCCGCGUGUGUGAAGAAGGUCUUCGGAUUGUAAAGCACUUUAAGUUGGGAGGAAGGGCAGUAAGUUAAUACCUUGCUGUUUUGACGUUACCAACAGAAUAAGCACCGGCUAACUUCGUGCCAGCAGCCGCGGUAAUACGAAGGGUGCAAGCGUUAAUCGGAAUUACUGGGCGUAAAGCGCGCGUAGGUGGUUUGGUAAGAUGGAUGUGAAAUCCCCGGGCUCAACCUGGGAACUGCAUCCAUAACUGCCUGACUAGAGUACGGUAGAGGGUGGUGGAAUUUCCUGUGUAGCGGUGAAAUGCGUAGAUAUAGGAAGGAACACCAGUGGCGAAGGCGACCACCUGGACUGAUACUGACACUGAGGUGCGAAAGCGUGGGGAGCAAACAGGAUUAGAUACCCUGGUAGUCCACGCCGUAAACGAUGUCGACUAGCCGUUGGGAUCCUUGAGAUCUUAGUGGCGCAGCUAACGCGAUAAGUCGACCGCCUGGGGAGUACGGCCGCAAGGUUAAAACUCAAAUGAAUUGACGGGGGCCCGCACAAGCGGUGGAGCAUGUGGUUUAAUUCUAAGCAACGCGAAGAACCUUACCUGGCCUUGACAUGUCCGGAAUCCUGCAGAAAUGCUGGAGUGCCUUCGGGAAUCGGAACACAGGUGCUGCAUGGCUGUCGUCAGC
rnacentral:rRNA from 1 species